AAGGUGAUAGUGAAUCGAUUUGAGAUUAUUUUUCCUAAGAUCAUAGGCCAAGAGCAAGCGGGGUUUAUUGUAGGUAAAAAUAUUAUUGACAAUGUUGCCAUAGUACAACAAGUGUUGCAUUCCAUGAAAAGUAAGAGUACAAUUUAGUGGAGAACUAUUAAGAUAGAUUUAGAGAAAGCCUAUGAUAGGGUGCAUUGGGAUUUUGUGGAAGCAUCUCUUAAAGUGGCAGCUAUUCCUAACUUUCUAAUAAAGGUUAUUAUGUCAGCUAUCUCGACGUCCAUUAUGCAGGUUUUAUGGAACAAAGUUACGACCCCUAAGUUCAAGCCUGUUAGAGGAAUUCGUUAGGGCUGUCCUUUAUCUCUAUAUCUUUUUUGUGUUGUGCAUGGAAUGGUUGGGCCAUUGGUUUCAUUCGACUAUCUCAUUUGGGGAAUGGAGUCUUAUUCAGUUAUCUCGAAAGAGGGCCUUCCCUUUCGCAUUUAUUUUUUGCAGAUGACUUAGUGAUUUUUACCAAAGCGAACUUGUAGCAUAACAAAAUUCUUAAGGACUUCCUUGAGUGAUUCUGUGAGUUUUCCAGGCACAAGGUUAAUGUUUGGAAGAUCAAUAUGUUUUUUUCUACUAGAGUCAAUGGGGACUUAGUGAGGAAGAUUAGUGAUAUACUCGGAUUCCAACACGUUUAAGAUCUUGGUCAUUAUUUAGGAGUUUCCUUUCACCAAAGAAUUACCAAAGGUUCGUUGAGUUUUUUGGUAGAAAAAGUUCGGAAGAAGCUUUCUAGCUGGGAAGCUAAGGAACUCUCAUUUGUGGGAAGGGUAACUUUAGCAUAUACAGUUUUACUUUCAAUCCUAAGUUAUCUCAUGCAAUUCUUAAUGGUCUCGAAAGGCGUCUAUAACAAAAUUGAAGAAAUGGUGCGGCAAUUCAUUUGGGGAUCUUCUGGUGGUAAAAGGAAAAUGACAUUAGUGAGGUGGGAUGUUAUUUGUCAGCCUAAAUCGCGUGGAGGUUUUGGGAUACGACAUCUUAGCGAUCAAAACUUCACUUUUAUGAUGAGGCUUGGUUUUAAGAUUGUCACCAAAACUGAUGCUUUAUGGGUUUGGGUCCUUAGAGCGAAGUAUGGGAUAAAUGACAAAUUGUCGAAAUGUAUUACAUGGAGUAGAAGCUUUUUUUAUGUGGAAAUCCAUUUCUAAAGCACGACCUUUACUGUGUGAUAAUUUGAUAUGGUCAGUGGUUGAUGUAAAUAACGUUCAUUAUUGGAAGGAUUCUUAGGUCCCUAAUAUGAGACCAUUAAGAAAACAUGUUUCUGCUUAUGCAAAUGUUGUUUCAGACUGUAAGUUGAGUGAAAUGGUUACGAAAAAUGGCACAUGGUGCCUCGAUCUAUUUCGAGUUUGGUUGACAGAAAAUGUUAUCCAACAUAUCGUUAGCAUUCCCCUACCAAUGUCUUUUUGUAGGACCAGAUUUGAUCUUUUUGUCUCGUUCUGCAAUAGUUGCCUUCUUUGUUAAAAGUGCAUAUUGGAUAUUGAAAUAGGGGUCUUGGAAUCCCAGAGAUGCAGUUUGGAAUAUAGUGUGGAAAUUCCCUAGGACUCAGAGAGUUAGGCAUUUCAUUUGGAUAGUUUUGAAACAGAGACUCCUAACCAAUGUCGAGAAAGUUCAAAGGAGGAUUGGUCAGGAUGAGUCAUGCCUUCUUUGUGGACAUAGAUAUGAGGAUGCAUUACAUGUGCUUAGGGAUUGCCCGGUUGCAAAGGAUGUUUGGCACCAAGUUUUUCCACUAAGUCAACAUGGGGUUUUCUUCUCUAGCAAUUUAACAGAAUGGCUGAUUUUAAAUUUGCAUGAUCACUCAAAUCACAACACGAGGGAUCCGAGUUGGGUCUAUCUAUUCGAGUUAUUAGUGUGGCAUAUUUGGAAAAAUAGAAAUUCUUUUAUCUUCCAAGGUAUAUCCAUGAAUCCAAAUGAGAUUAUUAAGGUCUCAUAUAGCUAAGCUAAACAAUAUAUUUUAGUACAUAGGGAUGUGUCGAGGUUGGGAUUAGAACCCUAUUUUGAGCAUUCAUUUCCAAGUAUGUGUUUUUUUUCUCAAUACUAAAGGUGUCGUUCAGGCGAACACUGAUUUAUAUGUUGCAAGAGGUGGUGUGGUUUGGGAUGAAAUGGGGAAGUGGAUAUUGGGAUAUAAUCAGUUCUUGGAAAAGUGUUCAGUCUUUGUUGCCUAGCUAUGAGGCAUUUUGGAUGGUUUACUUCUACUUCAGAAGUAAAGGCAUGAUAGGGUCAUCAUCCAAUUUGAUAAUCUUGAUGUUGUUAAAGCUAUUUGCGACCGUCAGUUAGCUGGGGCAAGUAUAUCACUUGUUAGGAGAAUCCAACAUAUUUUAUCCCAUGAUGACAAAUGGUUCAUGCGACAUACCUUUAAGAAAAAUAAUCAGGUAGCGAAUGCAUUAACUAAAAUGGCUUUUGCGAAUGAUGAAGAUUUGUGUUUAUUUGAUGUCCUUCCUAUAAAGAUUCAAGUAAUUUUAAAAGAGGAUAGAGUGAGAGGUAAUUUGGCUCCAGUUAUUAUUUUAGUUUUUUUACACCAAAAAAACACACCUGUUACCUCUCUUAUAUUAACUAAUAAUUAAUAAAAAUAUUUCAAAGUCAAUUCUAAUUAAAUUUGUGCGACUUGAUUCACAUACACCAAAUUCAAUUAGAGCUAUAGAUUAAUAAAAAUCUCAUAUGGUCGCGUAACCAAUUUGUUAAGUUUUUAAAUGGACAAGAAUUAAAAUGUCCUUUUCAAUAAUAAAAGGAUUAAAAUGAACAUUUGGUAUACUAUAAGGACUCGUAUUGUAUUUUAACCUCAUUUUUUGAGUAAUAGAUGGUAUUAUAAAAAAAUCAAAUUAUAACAAAUUAAAUAAUACCGAAACUAUACUUUAACCCCCAAAAAACAAUAUCUUCAAUAUAUAUUCACACACAAUUUUUCUUUUAAGAAAUAUGACAUAUUCUCAAGAGAAAAUACAUAUGUUUAAACUUUAGAGACAAUAUUGUUAGAAAAAAUAAAACAAAUACGAACAUAAAUCAUGAAAUAAUCAUAAAAAAUAUCAAAAAAUAAGAGUAAAUCUGGCAAAUUUAGAUAUUAAAAUAUUGGGAUUAGUUUUAUUCAAGUUGAAAUUCAACUUCUUUUGAAUUUAAAUUAUUUGGAGUUAAGGUAAUGUUUUAUUAAAUUCAUUUGGGUAGGUUAGUUCAUUAUAUAAGGUAGAAUUAUUAUCUUUUUAUGUUGAAAUAAAAUUAUAUCAAAUUUAAAUAUAUAUUACUUAAAUAGUCCAACAUAAGUAAAAUCUUCAAUUAAAUUUAUUUGUGAGAUAUUUUGAAAUAAACAAAAUACUUUCUCCGUAGCAAUGUAAAUAAUAACAUUUUAAUUUACUUGAAUUUAAUAUAAAAUUCCAACAAUUUUUACAAUUAAAUUUAUAUUUUUAAACUUGAAAAAGUAAAAAAUAGAUAAUUAAAAUUUUAAAAAUAGAAAUAAGGAGACCAAAUUUUAAAUAUAUGAAGAUUACAAGGACUUAUAUAAUAUUUUUAAUUUUUUUUAAUUAACUCUAUUUCUUUCUCUCUCUUGACACCAUACCACACUAUAACUAUAGGGAAUUAGGAAAAGCAAAAAUUCUGUAUUUAGCUCCUUGAAAAUUCGCUACGUUUUCUCCCAUAUUAUAUGCUCUGCUUUGCUCGCCAGUUCCCGGUUGCUCCAUGAAAGAACCUUCCCUCUCCCUUUAUCCUCUCUAAACUUCAUUUCAAUUCAACCCUUUUUUUCUCUCUUGUUUUUUCAUUACUAAAUCAACUAAGGAACCUCUUUUUUUGGGUUCUUUUUGAAAAGCAAAACGCCCGAGCAUUAAUGGAGAAAAAGCAAGGUUUUUUCUCAGCUCUCAAAGAGGAAGUAAUUCGUGGGCUUUCACCUUCCCGCUCGAGGACCAACAGCCCCGGAAGAGCCCGGUCACCCAUUGCGAUUCUGUUGCGGAGAAAGAAAAGCGGCCACAACAACUACGGAGGCGCUUACCUGGCGCAACCGGAGCCCUUGAUCGCGAGGUACGGUGUCGGGGAAGCGUUAACUCCGCUCAUGGAAGGUCCCGACCAGGACGGAGGUGAAACCGGGGACUCCAAGAGGCUUGGGUCGGGGCUAGGACAAUGGGUUAUGGGACAGUUAUCGAGGACUCCAUCCAUGGCUUCCUUGAGUUGCAAAAGGUCCGAUCUAAGGCUGUUGCUGGGGGUCAUGGGUGCACCUUUGGCUCCUGUUCAAGUUUGCUCCACUGACCCUUUGCCUCACUUGAGCAUCAAAGACACUCCCAUUGUUAGUCCCCUUCCGCCCCCCCCCCCCCCCGGUCUUCUUUAGCUUAUAAUAGACUUAAAAAAGAACAAAUGAACUUCUGGGUGUUUUUUUUUCUGCUUAUGCUGGUUUGAAUGGUGGCUAAAGUAUUUAUCAGUUAUAGUAUUUUAUUUGUAAUGUUCUUGUAUUUUUCUUUAAGCUUCUUCUAUGGUCUGUGGAUCCAUUUUAUUAAAUCAUGGUUUUCAUUCAAACUGUGGUUAGCAAGAAACUUGAGUAAAAACUCCAUUUCAUUGCGGUAUGGUGCAGGAAACUUCCACUGCUCAGUACAUAUUGCAGCAGUAUACAGCUGCUUCCGGUGGUUUGAAGCUGCAAAACUCUGUUCGGAAUGCGUAUGCAAUGGGAAAACUGAAAAUGGUAGCUUGUGAAUACGAAACUGCUGCGAAGACGGUUAAGAACCCAUAUGGCUCCAGGGGUGCGGAGUCCGGUGGGUUUGUGCUCUGGCAAAUGAAUCCGGACAUGUGGUAUGUUGAACUUGCGGUUGGGGGCAGCAAGGUUCAUGCUGGCUGUAAUGGGAAGCUUGUGUGGAGGCACACACCUUGGCUUGGUGCUCGCACUGCAAAGGGGCCUGUUAGACCCUUGCGUCGUGCACUUCAGGUGAGGUCUCCUAUGCUUAUCAGCAGCUGAACAUUGGGUCUUCGAUUAUACUUCUAGCAUUACUGGUUUUCUGAUUCUCUCUUUGUGCUUCACUAUUCCUAAUUCAGGGUCUUGAUCCGAGAACUACAGCUAGUAUGUUUUCUGAUGCAAAAUGUAUAGGAGAGAAGACAAUUAAUGGUGAGGAUUGCUUCAUCCUCAAGCUCUGUACCGACCCCCAGACAUUGAAGGCAAGGAGUGAAGGCCCUGCGGAGAUCAUUAGGCAUGUCUUAUUUGGCUACUUUAGUCAGAAGACCGGGCUUCUGGUUCACAUGGAGGAUUCACUCUUGACUCGUAUUCAAUCCAACGGUGGGGAUACUGUUUAUUGGGAAACCACAAUCAAUUCAUAUCUUCAGGAUUACCGUCCCGUCGAAGGUAUCAUGAUAGCACAUUCUGGCCGUUCUGUCAUUACACUUUUCAGGUUCGGGGAAGCUGCAAUGAGCCAUACAAAAACAAGGAUGGAAGAAGCUUGGACGAUCGAGGAGGUUGCCUUUAACAUACCAGGCCUUUCUGUUGAUUGUUUUAUUCCUCCAGGUGAUUUGAAAUCUGGAUCCAUCAGUGAAACCUAUGAGCUACCUCAGGACGAAACAGGGAAGAGUGGGAUCGCCUUAUCAGCAUAUCAUGCCAAAGUUGCUGCACUCGAGAAGGCACAGGAUAAUUGGCUGACAGUAUGAUUUGCAGGAUACAAGUCUGAAGAAGUGUAGAAUUCACAACUUAGAAAGUGCUCAAUUUGGUAGCUAGUUCAGUUGACUAACCCAUUAGAAAUUAAAAAAGAAGGUAGAAGUCAAUUUUUGGACUUCGGUUUUAUGCCUCUAUUAAUCUGUAAAUAGAGCAUAAUGGUUCAUAUCGGGACCUCUAUGGAUCUUUAUACUCUCAAUGCAGAAUCCAACUAUGGAGAGUUGGAGCUCAGUUUUUCCAAUUAGGGAUAGAGCUAAUGGAGGUUGGUUUUUAGUUUACCCGGCUUUGAUGGUAAGUAGCAAAGCUACCCCAUCAACCCUUUUAUUUUUUCUAUAGUUACACUAACUAUAUAUAGUAUGGCAGCAUAAAGGAUGCUGCCAGUUUAACAGUAAUGUCUAGUUUUUUUUUUUUUGAUGUUACAAAUUCUGGAUUUGUGAUUCAAAAUGUGAUGAUUUGGGUUGAAAGUUGUUUGGGGGGUUUGAGAGAAGGGAAAGAGAUUUUGCCAUUUUUGUGGAAAUGGUGAUAAAUAGGCAUAAUGGUAAAUGAGAUGGAACUAACUAUAUUUCUUACCUUCUGAAAGUUAUUCAAUGCUUUUGAUGAAUAUACAGUGAUCCCCAUAUUUCCUUCAUUCUUUUCUAAGUUUUAAUAUGUGACUUGUGAAUGCCCAGAUUAUCUUUGUACUACAAGUGACGACACUCGAACCCUAAUGCUGUUGUUAGGGUGUUAAUAAGAACUUUGGUUGAACCACCAUAUCUUUAAGAAUAUACUUAAUCUUCCUACAUCAAGUAGGCAGCAAUAUCUAAGGUUAUCUUUGACCCAUCACUGCCAUUGGAACCCUUUAAGGCUUGAGUGUGUCCCCUUGGUGGGGUGUCCAAAGCUUUUUUUAGUCAGACAAGCCAACAUAUUUUUGAAGCAAUGCAAAGCCCCACCUUUGACCACAGGUGUAAUGUGGGGUUAGGUUGGGUCAGUGGUGUGAAGUUGUGGUAGCAUCGUUCAAAGCUAAAAAAGCUAAGCACGAGAUGAAAGUUCCUCAAAACCCCCAUGUGAUUCUUCAUUCUUCUUUUGCUUUUGCUUUGGUUCCUUUGCUUAACUGUUUUAGCAGAUCUUUUUACCUGCUUUUGCCAACUUAUUUAUUUAUUUAUUUCGGUCUUUCUUCAUGUUUACUCUCUAAGAUAUAGGUGCUGAGGGUGGGGAAAGUUCCAACUCAUCCCAUGUUUUCUGAAAAGUCAAUCUCUCUUUCUUUUACUCCAUUUUCUUUUUAAGGAGCCAUAGAGGACUUCUCUCUAUAUGUAAAAUCAAGUCAUAUAAAAUUUGGGCAUAUUUUAAUAAAUGCCUUAUAAUAUAUUUUUACUAAAAUGUUUUUCUUUUAAUUUUAUAGAUAUUAUAUCUAUUUUGAUUCAAUUUUAUCAUUAUAGAUGGCUUGAGGAGUUUUUUUUACUUUACCGAUGGUGUACAAGACAAUAAUUCAAAAUAAUAAAUAUAAAAUAAGAAAAAAAUACUAUAUAUGUAUUUGUAUUAAGAGUUUGAUUUUAUUUUGUCUCUCUACUUAAAAAAUUGGUAAAUUAGUCCUGUAUGUUAGAUUAAAGAGCAGGACCAACUUGCUCUUUGAUCUAAUGUACAAGAAUUAAUUUAUCUAUUUUUUGAGUAGAGGGAGCAAAAUACAAUGUGACUCCUAGUAUAAGAGUCUUUAUGGCACUUCUAUCAUAUAAAACAUUACGAUAUUAUGUAAAAUAUAGAGUUGAGUUGAGAUUUUUUUUUUCAAGAAGUUGGAGGCCACGUGGAUUGAAGAAAUCAUUUUGGGCUCGGAAUUGGAUGUUAUUAAUUUUGAGUUUAACUUGUUUAAUUGUCGAUUUAGUUUUAAUUUGGUUGACAUCGAUAUUUUUAUCAAUGUGGGAGGACGUGGAUUCAAGUGCGUUGUAACGCAUUCAUCCUCUUUUUUGAGAAUCAGGAAGGGGUCGUGAAUAAUUAUAAGCGACUUGAUUAAAUUCAAAAUUAAAGUACUUUAAUGAUUGGCUGGUUUAAUUUCAGAUUAUUAACUAUAAAAAUGGGUUAAAUUUACAUUAAAGAUUUUGGUUAAGCUGCAAUUGAAUAAAUAUUACGUUGUUUGUGAGGUUUUAUCCCGUGAAUAAUUUACUAUAAAUCAAUUCUUAUGUUUGUGAGGCUUUGUUGAAUGAGUAGUUUAUUAUAAAUCAACUCUUACAAAAUAAGUCCAAUUCACUCACCAACCCUUUUCCCUUAAAAACUUAAUUCACAAAACAAGUUACUUACAAUGAAUUUGUACUAGAAUAAUUUCUUGACUUCAACAAAAUAGAUUCUCUCUUAAUCUCAAGUAUUCUGGUGUUUAAUGGCUUGCAAAAGUACAAUUAGGAUGUUCAAAUUUUGGUUAAAAUCGAAUUAACCGACCGAAAUCGAACUAAUUCGAUUAAUCUAUCAGUUAACCAAUCUAAUUCGAUCGGAGGGCGGUUAAUGGUUUCUUGAAAGUUCGGUUAUCGGUUAAUUCAGGUUGAAAUUGGGUAAUUAACCGAAUUAACCGAACUUUUAAAAAACCAAUAUUAUAUAUUACCAUUUCGGUUAAUUUUGGUUAAUUAAGUUAAUUUUAAUCUAGUUAAUUCGGUCAAAUGAACAUUAUUAAUUUACUUUUUGAUAUGUUUUAUACUUGUUUUAACAAAAAAACAAAAACAUAAAAAUUUCAGUUAAUUCGGUUAACCGAAAUAAUUUGGUUUGGUUAAUUUAUUUUGAAAAAAUUUUGGUUCGGUUAACGGUUAAGGGUUUAAAAAUUUCGGUUAAUUCGAUUAAUGCUAGUUUGGUUUGAUUAACUGAUUGAACACUCCUAAGUACAAUCAAUGUAGAGCUCUCUCUUUUUUUCUCUCUUCAAAAAUAGUCUUCAAUAAAGAAAAAAGUGGUAGAUAUAUUCUCAAUAUAAACUUCUUUGAAAAUAAAAUCUCUUCGAUUAUGAAAAUUUCGAUCACAUUGAAAGUCUUGAUAAAGUCCUUACUUUGACAUGAUUCUUGUACGAUUUGCCUUCACUAAUGCUCUGCCAGAAAAAUCUUCCAAGAUGCUCAAUUAAAAACCCCAAUAGUUUUGAUCAAAAGAUGUCAACCAAUAUGAUAAGUUACAAUUGUCUACCAAAUGCACGUUAAAUUGCAACUGGAGUUGCAUCUGACAUUUAUAACUAGCACUAACAAAUUAAUUGAGUGUAAAUCUUUUGAUUGCCUUCACUAUGUGUAUACUCAAACAUAUAUGUUGAACAUACAUCCAAUAAUAACAAAAAUAACCAACAAGCUAUUGGUUUAGUAAUAACUUGCAUGUGGGUUCAUGUGUUGGCAUGCAUUUAGGGCUAAAAAAAGGAAAAUAAUAUAUACUUUAACAAUUUUUAAGGUAUCUACUAAUUAUUUCAUUUAAUUUUUUAUAACCUUUUAUUUGUGUAGAGGGUUCUUUAGUAGAGAGAGGAGGUGUUGCAAGCAAGUAAAUAGAAUGUAUCAAGAGUAGCUAAAGAGGAAAACUAGAGCAAAUCUUAUAAAUUGAGCGUAGUAAUAGGUGGGGGCUUGUAAGGUGGAAAAAGGUUACACGUGGCUUAGAAUAAGACUAAGUAUGAGAAUAGUUUAAAAGAGUCUUAGAGAUAGUUUUGGGAGUUAGAAUGCUAAAAUUGUUAAAAAGUCCUUUCACAAGUUGCAAAAGGCUUCUAUUUAUAAUGUCCAAAAACAAGAGUUACAAAUUUAAGUAUUAAAUAGGAGUAAUGACAAAUAUUGUAAGUUACAAAGGCAUUAAUAUCCUUUUAAUAAUAAAUAGUUUAGGUUAACCAUGAAGGGUAAAUAGUGAAUAAGAAUUCACUAUGUUUCUGAAAGAAAAGGGAGAAGCACACAAUGUUAUAUGAAAAAGUUAAGAGGAAACCAUUUAACUACCUCCAUAUUUAAUACACCAAGUCAAUCUCUUCAGAACAUCCCGAGAAUCUUGCCUUAUUUUGAGGUUAUUUUCACUUCUUGUGCUUUUGUGAAGUAAUACCUUGUGAAACAUUUUAUGUAGAACAUCACUUGAAAUGCAAGCUAUUCUUAAUGAAGAAUUCUUCUUGAACGAGAGUUGUUCCUGAAUAAGGGUUAUUUUUAUUUAUUCCAAACAUGAAUUGUUCUCAACAUAGCCACUCUUAGUAGUGGUUGUUUCAAACAAGAAUUGUUUUGCAAUGAUGCUUUUCUUUAAAGAGAUUGUUUUGAAUAAUGACUCAUAUUUAAAAAAAACUCACAAUUGUUCUAAAUAGAAAUUGUUUUGAAUUGUGGUUGUUUUGAAUUAUGGAUAUUCUAAACAAAAGUUGUUUUGAACAUUAGUUGUUCCCAAAUAACAACUACACUCACAGCUAUUUUAAACUAGAGCCUUAUUCUGAACAUAGUCGCUCUGAACUAGCUAUUCUCAGCGACGAUUGUUUUGAACAACAAUUACUCUAAACAAGAAUUGUUCUUCCGGAAAAAGAAUUAAGUGAAACAAUAUCAUUACUUAUUCAUAGUUAACCUUUUUAUUAUCACCUUUGGGAGUGCAAUUCCUUAAAACAGAACCUUAUUAUCUUUGAAAAGAGAUAAAAGAUUAGUAGUAAAACUAGUACCUACAUUUUUUUGUUGUAAUCAAAGUAUCUAUCGUCCACGGCAAUGACUAAUCCUCUCACCAUGGGUGCUCUCCGAAAAAUAAAUGAUUAGUCAUAAAAUAUGCUCUAUUCCCAUGAGCAGAGAUCGAAGCCCCAACCAUAUAAUAAAUAAUGAGAUGAGCAAUCACCAUACUACUCCUCAUAAUUAAAACUAGUAUCUACAUUUUAUCUAUCUUAUGGUUUCUUUUUGUGUUUUUUCCCAUCUUCAUAAGUUGCAGCAGGAUCUUUAGGGAGUGUUGUUAAACUGGUGGACAUUGUUGAGCACUUCAAAAAUACAUGUGCACAAUACACAAUAUAAUAUGCAAUAAAAGUUAGCAAUGUCAAUUCAUAUUAGAGUGUCGGCAAAGGAAAUUUGGACGUGAAAGUGGUAAAAACAUAGAUAGAUAUUUAUGAGAGUGAAGGGGAAAAAAAGACCAUAUUAAUGACAGUGCAUGGUGGAGCAAUGGAGCAAGAGGGUAUCUCAGUUGACUUCAACGUACAUUGCUUUCAAAGGGGGGAAAGGGGAAACUUAAAUUUUUUUUUUUUGCUAAAAAUUUAUUGAAGAUGGUUAAGAAAAGGACAAUACGAGGGACUUGUACACGAUUGAUAAAAUCUAAUUGUUGCAACAUUCAUAAUAAUUUGUUUUGGGUAAGAGGUGAGAGACUCUAUUACCUAUCCAUAAGUUGGGUUAUUGGUUUAAGUUUGAAGGUUACUCGAAAUACGAAAGGUUUGGACAAAAGUGCGAUACCUACAAAAUGAGUUUCGGCAAGCUCGACCCACCCAUUCUAUACUUCUGUAAUAUAUUUUUAUUUUAUGUAUAUAUUAUGUAAUUUAUACCACAUAAAAUUAUAUAUAUACAUAUGAUAAUACAAUACUAGGUAACAUUAUAACAAAGAUGUCUAAAUUUAAAUUUUUAAUAAAAAACCAUAUUAAAUAUUAAAUAUUAAAUUAAAAAUAAUAUGAGUGUGUCUAAAAUGGACUUAGAUUAACUAUUUAUAAAUCUGGGUAAAUUUGAAUUAAAUUUUAGACACAUAUUUUAGAUCAGAUCGAGUCAAGCUUGGACAAAUAUAAAGUGUGCUAAUAUUAUAAAUAUACUUAGACCCACCCAUUAACGUCUCUAACCUUUACUAAUUGAAGUUUGGGAAACUAUUUGUAAUAGAGUUGAAUUUUUUAUAUUUCACAAGUAUGCAGGCGAGGUUUUGGGUUGAUGGCAUGCAUGGUUGAAGGUUUGGAAAUUUUAAAAUAUCAAGAUUGAGUCUCAAUUUAUGUAAAUCAUGUUUAGAUUUGUUUUGAAUUAGAUUCGAAUAUAUUUUUGUUAUCAAUUUAUUUAUGCAUUGUAAUGAUUGAUUUUGAUUAUAAUGAUAUAAACGUAUAAAUUGUAAAUAUAAAUAUAACUUUUAAGAUUAUAUAUAUUUAACUAAUUUUCUUUCAUGUACAAUGUACAAAUUAAUUAUAUGUAUUAAUUUAAUUGCAUUACAUUAAUUAUUUACAAAGUUUUGAUAUUUUUUAGUAUUAAGAGUUUUUUUAAAUUUAUGUCCAUCACGUUGCAUAUUGAGAAGUUACCACAUAUUAACACAAACUAACGAUGUUUAUGCGAAGAUACUCACUUGAAUAUAUAUGCACAUAUACAAAUAUAUAUUGUAAUGAUUGAUUCUGAUCGCAAUGAUAUAUGCGCAUAUUUUGUAAAUAUAAUUUGGAAGUGAAGUAUAGAUGGAUAUUUAGGAGAGUGAAGGAAGAAAAAACCCAUAUUAAUGGCAGUGCAUGGUGGAGCAAUGGAGCAAGAUAGUAUCUCAGUUGACUUCAACAUGCAUUGCUUUCAAUGAGGGAAAAGAGGGAAACUUAAUUUCUUUUUCUGCUACAAAUUUAUUGGAGAAAGAUGGUUAAUAAAAGGGACAAUAAGAGGGACUAGGACCAGAUUGAUAAAAUCUAGUUGUUGCAACAUUCAUAAUAAUUUCUUUUUGGGGAGACACCAUGGUUGAUUGAAAUGUGGGAAAUUAUUUGUAAUAGUGUUGAAGUUUUUAAUUUUCACAAGUAUGUUAAUGAGGUUUUGGUUAGAUGGCAUGGUCGAGGUUUUGAUAAUUUAAAAAUCUCAAAUUUGAAUCUCUCAUUGUAUAAAUUAUGUUUGAAAUUUUAGUUUAAAUUUGUUUUCCACAUUUGAAUAUGUUUCGAUUAUCAAUUUAUUUAUGCAAUGUAAUUAUUGAAAUAUUGAUCGAAAUUCGAUUUUAGCUCGAUUGAGUAUAUAAUUAUAAAAGCUUCUAACUUGUUUUAAAGUAAAAUUAAAUUAUUUGUAAGGACAACUCCCUCAUAGACAAUCAUGGGGCUUUAGAUGGGCCUAAUACACAUCAACUUAUUGAACCCACAUCACUCAAUAACUUGGCCUAUGCAUAUGAUUCAAAAUAAUAGUAUUGUUGUUGGGUCCCAAACCAAAUAAAGCUAAAAUUAUGUUGCCUAAAUUAAAUAACUCGUACAAAAUCAUAGAUCAUUAUAGAAAAAAUGUGGAGUAUGCCUCGCAUUUCGGUCAAAUUAAAACACAAACAGAGAGCAACGCCGUGAUAAGGAUCCUUGGAUGUCGCGACAAUGAAAUAGGGGAGAAGCAGAAAUGACGUUGCGACGACACAAUAGGGGACGUUGCAAUGUGGCAACGUGUCAUGCAAUUUUCUUGAUUUUCUUCUUCCAGUCAAAUUCUGAUUAUUUGUUCUAGUCGAACUCUGAUUAGUAUAGAUUAUUUUAAGAUUAUUUGAUUUACGAAUUUAGCCUAUAAAUAGGCCCUAUUUUCUACCCUAGAAAGAUUAACCCAUAACACAUUUAAGUAUUAACUUUUACAAGCUUUCUGAGAAUUUUGUAUUUAAGUUUUGAGGGUUUUUAUUUUCAGGUUUCGGGGUUUAGUUUUUAUCUCCAUAUUUAUACUCUUCUUUUUUUGUCGAUUUAGUGAAUUAUCUUUGCCCGUAGUUUUUACCCUCUUUGGAGUUGUUUUUCCACAAAAUUUGUGUGUUCGAUCUUUUCAAUUUCUUCGUUAGUUUUCUUGUUCAUUGCUUACACAGGUUUAUCCCCAACAGAAGAGGUCAUUGUCAUCAUUUAAAGUAGAAUCACAACUUAACAUAACUUAAACUUGAUAAACAACUCAAAAAUAGAAAUUUGAUUUCAUAAAUUUGAUAUUCCAAGCUUGACACUAAAUAAUCAAUGCCUACAAAAAUACUUAAAAACAAAAAAAAAGAUAAUCAAUCUCUCUUCAUCUCACAAGACACAAAAUUUUCAAAACAAAAUUAAAGAACUGCUACAAGAUCUGGUCAAAACAUCAAGUAAUGAUCUGAUCAAAAUUCCAUCAAAGAAUAUUAUUUACAAUUUCAUUAUGUUACAGCCAAAAUGUCUCUAAACAUUAAAAAUUGGAGAGAAUGGUAACCAAACUCAAAACAAGAUCCAAAGAAGAAAGUUGAAGAAUAAAAGAGAUGUUGUCACUAACCCUCUUAAAUCGCUUUAAGCCAAUCAAUUAUUACAUUUAGCUUUAACUACCCAAGUUAUUCAACACAUUUAUUUUGAUAGUAAUAAUACUCAUAAGGACUUUAAAAUAAAGUUUUAAUCAUUUAAUUUCAAUUACUUUAUUUUCAUCAUGUGAUAGACAUUAUAGCCAUGCCAUUGCCAACAACAUCCCCAUAGUACCAUGGUCACAUCUCCCCAUUGCCCACCCAUACAUUCAUGGUUCCAUUUUAACUACCCUUUCCUUGACAUCUAUACAACUAUAUAUUAAAGGCACUAAAGCUUUUCAAUUCUAAUUUCUUUUACUUUUUAGAUUAUAAGAAUGGGUAAUUUUCAAUAUGAUCCCUAUAUUUUAUUUAAAUUUGAGAUUUAAUCUAUAUACUUUAAUUUUGACAUAAUUUAAUAUCUCAAUUUUUAUAAUGCCAUUAGUUAGUCUAAAUAUUUUAUUCUAAUUAAAAUGAUUAAUAUAUGAAUUUUUAAGAAUUGUUAGCGCCAUUAAUUUUUUUAUUGAAUUUAUGAUCAUUACAAUGUUAUUUUUUAGUUACAUGGAUACCAAGUUUAUUUUAUUUUUUUCAAAAUACCUUACCAACACAAAAGAAUUUUAACAGUGUUAACAAAUGGACCUAAAUUUUUAAAUUUGAAAAGCAGAGAAACUAAAUUCCUAAAAAUAAGAAAACACAAAUUAAAUUCCAAAUAUACGAAGAGUAAAAAAAGUUUGAACAAAUUGUAACCUUUAAAUUUUUACACUAUAAUUUAAUUAAAAAAUAAAUAAUUUAAUUGGACCCUUUGGACAAUCGUUUGAGCAUACUUUCAAAAUUGCUCAAGAUUAAAUGUUGACAUUUUGACUUGGAUCUCCAUAAUUGUUUUCUUCAUAAGUAAAUAAAUGGUAGUCGAAUUUGGAUGAUUGAAGGAACUAUAAGAUCAACAUGCCUUAUCCAUUAAGGCUUACCCUCAUCCUUAUUCUUUAAACCUUAUCUUGUGAAUUAUGCUGAUGAAUUUACUUAUAUAAGAUUGUAUUUUGAGAUAAAUUUUGGAGGUUUUUAUCCCGAUUUAUUAUGCAUUAAAUUGGUGAUUUUAUCUCCACAAAAUCUGCUAAGAGGAGACUUUUGUACUAGCUUAUAAAUAGACUGUUGAUUGACUUCCUCAUUGAGUUAUUUGGGUGUAUUUAGACCUUGUUCUUUUGUACUAGCUAGCAUAUAAAUAGAGUGUUGAUCAAAUUCCCUGUUUAAUAUUGCAUGUAAUAUGAGGUAUUUGGGGAGAGUAAUUUGUAACAAUAUAAAUUCAACUUUGCAGCUACAAUUAUUAUUACGAGAUGUUAGAUUGGACUUUUGCUAAUAGUUAUAUCAAAUUAACUGUUGAAUAAAAUCAUUCUUUGAAUGAGGCUUGCAAAUAGGAUUUGUGAAUCCAUAUUGAUUCUUUAUUUACUUAUCUCUUUGUCUUACAUUUUGAAUUUGUGUUUAUUUCUUUCUUUACUUUGCUUCUUGUUUGAUGUGUUUAAAAGGUUCUCUCCGAACUUCUAUUCAAUCAUCUAUUUGAAUAUCGAAUUAAAUGUGUAAUGAUAAAAAAAAAAAAGUAAAGGAAAUUUUUUAAAAAAAAUCAUGAGCGAAGGAAGUAGGCAGCCAUCAACAUAAAAUCCCAUACAAAAAGAAACAGUAAAACUCCCUCCAAUACAAAUGAAAAAUAUAAAAGCUCCCCUCAAAAAAAAUCUCCCAAAGAAUACAAAUAUAUAUAAAUAAAUGUAAGCUCAAAUAUGCAUAGUAAAAAGCCCCAUCAAAGAGACUUAAGCCAGUAACAAUAUAUAAUGGAAAUUAAAACACUGAAAACAAAAACCAUAGCUAAAGACACAAAUGGUGAAGAAAAGACUUCAUGGUUUAAAGCAUUAAAGUGAGGAUACCCCAUCCAAUCACCAAGCUCCACACCAUCUUUCUUAUGGACCAUGUUUUCUCUACUCCACUCUGCAAUAAUCAAAUAACAUCUUGUAUUCAUAUUUUUUUCCCACUAUUAUAAUAAUUGGAUACGCAAAAGAAUAAUAGCUUCAUCCAUUGACAACUAAACAUGCUUUUGGAUAAAAAUAUAUUUAGAUUUGAAAAAAUGAAUUUAAACUAUAAUAUUAAAAGAUAUAUUUUAAAAAUAAAUUGGGUUUUAGUUAAAUACUUGAAGUAUAGACAUACUUAGAUAGAAUUAAUUAAUUAUAAAUAUAGAUAAAUUUCAACAAAAUUUAUAGAUGCCAUUAAUAUGAUUUGUGUGUGUUGAUCCAACCUGAGGUCUAAUUAAAGCUUUCCAUGUCAGAGUUUACGUUAGAAUUUAGAACACCCUCUAUAUUUUUGCUAUAUUAGACAUACUAAAUUUUAAACCCCAUAAGAGAAUAUGCAUAUACAUAUACAUACCGUAUCGGUUCCAGCAGGGCCUGGUGAAGAAGCGCCGAGGCUGGGAGUAGGGGCCUCAGUUGAUGGAGACGGUGGGCUGGAGGCCGAAGGUGAUAGCGCUGGAGACUUAGCUUUGGUCUUGCUAGGGGCCGGAGCUGGAACCGUGGCAGGAGGAGAAGCCAAAGGAGCUGGUGGUGGGGUAGCUGGAGGAGGAGUAGCAGGAGGGGGAGAAGCAGGUGGUGGGGUAGCCUGAGGUGGAGAAGCCGGUGGGGGAGUUGCGGGAGGUGGGGUAGCUGGGGGAGGAGUAGCCGGUGGAGGAGAAGCUGGUGGUGGGGAGCUAACGGGCGGGGGAGUCGCUGGAGGAGGAGUGGAAACUGGUGGUGGAGAAGCUGUCACUGGAGGUGGUGAUGAUGUAGGAGGAGGAGUGGAAGCUGGUGGCGGAGAAGUAGUUGUGGGUGUUGGAGGUGGUUGGGUAGUAGGCGGAGGUGUGGAAGCGGGUGGGGUCGGCGGCACCGGCGUGGAUGUCGGAGGAUUACUAGGAGUAGGAGGAGCUUGGCCUAAAGCGCCAGCUACAGCAAUGCAAAACAAAGCUGAUAAGAACAAAAACUUGUUAUUAAGCAUCAUGUUGGAAACAAUGGUGACCCUUUAAUCCUGCACACCCUCUCCGCUUAAACUACGCCCAGCCGCGCAAGCAAAAGAGGGAGAAGAAUAGCAA
rnacentral:lncRNA from 1 species